AUUGAACGCUGGCGGCAUGCUUUACACAUGCAAGUCGAACGAGUGGCGACGGGGGGAGUAAUAUAUCGGAACGUACCGAUUGAUGGGGGAAACCCAAUCGAAAGAUUGGCUAAUACCGCAUAUUAUGGGAGCGGCCGAUACCUGAUUAGCUAGUUGGUGGGGUAAAGGCCUACCAAGGCGACGAUCAGAAGCGGGUCUGAGAGGACGAUCCGCCACACUGGGACUGAGACACGGCCCAGACUCCUACGGGAGGCAGCAGUGGGGAAUUUUGGACAAUGGGGGCAACCCUGAUCCAGCCAUGCCGCGUGUAUGAAGAAGGCCUUCGGGUUGUAAAGUACUUUUGUUAGGGAAGCGGUACCUAAAGAAUAAGCACCGGCUAACUACGUGCCAGCCGCCGCGGUAAUAC
rnacentral:rRNA from 1 species